rnacentral:rRNA from 1 species
UACAGAGGGGGCAAGCGUUGUUCGGAAUUACUGGGCGUAAAGGGCGCGUAGGCGGCCUUCUAAGUCAUGCGUGAAAUCCCCGGGCUCAACCCGGGAACUGCGUCUGAUACUGGAAGGCUUGAAUCCGGGAGAGGGAUGCGGAAUUCCAGGUGUAGCGGUGAAAUGCGUAGAUAUCUGGAGGAACACCGGUGGCGAAGGCGGCAUCCUGGACCAAUACUGACGCUGAGGAGCGAAAGCCAGGGGAGCAAACGGG